UUAAGCUAAGAAGAGCGUAGGGAGAAUGCCUUGGCAUUAGGAGCCGAUGAAGGACGUGAUAAGCUGCGAUAAGCUGCGGGGAUCAGCAAGUAUGAAUUGAUCCGCAGAUUUCCGAAUGGAGCAAUCCGUAUGUGUAUGCACAUACAUCAUAUACUGAAUCAAAUAGGUAUAUGAGGGGAACCGCCUGAACUGAAACAUCUAAGUAGGGCGAGGAAGAGAAAUCAACCGAGAUUCUGUGAGUAGUGGCGAGCGAAAGCGGAAGAGGCUAAACCAUAGGUAGCAAUACUUAUGGGGUUUCGGACAGCAUUUAGUAUUGAUAAUUUCUAGUUGAAACGUGUGGGAAAACGUACCGAAGAGUGUGAGAGUCACGUAAGCGAAAGAGAAAGUCAGCGAGCUGUAUCCAAAGUACCGCGGGACACGUGAAACCCCGUGGGAAGAUGGGGGGACCAUCCUCCAAGCCUAAAUACUACCUAAUGACCGAUAGCGAAUAGUACUGUGAAGGAACGGUGAAAAGAACCCCGGGAGGGGAGUGAAAAAGAACCUGAAACCCUAUGCUUACAAGCACCGAGAGCACGUCAAAGUGUGAUCGGGUACCUUUUGUAGAAUGGUCCGGCGAGUUAUUGUAUGCGGCAAGGUUAAGUGCUUAAGGCACGGAGCCGAAGCGAGAGCAAGUCUGAAUAGGGCGAGUAAGUCGUAUGCAAUAGACCCGAAACCGAGUGACCUAUCCAUGUCCAGGCUGAAGUGGAGGUAAAACUCCAUGGAGGGCCGAACACACGUCCGUUGAAAAGGCCGGUGAUGAGGUGUGGAUAGCGGAGAAAUUCCAAUCGAACUCGGAUAUAGCUGGUUCUCUCCGAAAUAGCUUUAGGGCUAGCCUCGUGAAAGAUUACUGGAGGUAAAGCACUGAAUGGGCUAGGGGUCGAAAGAUUACUGAACCCUAUCAAACUAAGAAUGCCAGAUAAUUGAUUCACGGGAGUCAGACAAUGUGAGAUAAGUCUCAUUGUCAAAAGGGAAACAGCCCAGACCCACAGCUAAGGUCCCUAAACAUUGUUAAGUGGAAAAGGAUGUGGGGUUGCAUAAACAACCAGGAUGUUGGCUUAGAAGCAGCCACUCAUUAAAAGAGUGCGUAAUAGCUCACUGGUCGAGUGACCCUGCGCCGAAAAUUCAACGGGGCUAAACAAUGUACCGAAGCUUGGGAUUCUAGAUUUAUCUAGAGUGGUAGGAGAGCGUCGAAUAAGGGGUGAAGUCAGAGCGGAAGCGCUGGUGGACUUUAUUCGAGUGAGAAUGCCGGAAUGAGUAGCGAGAAUUAUGUGAGAAUCAUAAUGGCCGAAAAUCUAAGGUUUCCUGAGGAAGGUUCGUCCGCUCAGGGUAAGCCGGGGGCUAAGGCGAGGCGGAGACGCGUAGCCGAUGCACAUACGGUUGAAAUUCCGUAGCCACCGAAAGAUUUAAGUACAGGGACGCUUUAGAAGUGAUGUUGCCGGGCGAUGGUUGACCCGGUCGUAAGGGAUCGAAAAUGAGUAGAGAAGUCAUCAUGGAAAGAGACAAGAAAAGCUGUAUGGAUAUCUUAGGUGCCCGUACCGCAAACCGACACAGGUAGAUAGGAAGAAGAUUCUAAGGCCAACGGGAGAAGGGUUGUUAAGGAACUCGGCAAGUUGACCCCGUAACUUAGGGAUAAGGGGUGCUCAAGUGAUUGAGCCGCAGAGAAUAGGCCCAGGCGACUGUUUAGCAAAAACACAGGUCUCUGCUAAAUCGAAAGAUGACGUAUAGGGGCUGACACCUGCCCGGUGCCGGAAGGUUAAGAGGAGAUGUGAGAGCAUUGAAUUGAAGCCCCGGUAAACGGCGGCCGUAACUAUAACGGUCCUAAGGUAGCGAAAUUCCUUGUCAGGUAAGUUCUGACCCGC
rnacentral:rRNA from 1 species